rnacentral:misc_RNA from 1 species
GAUGAAGAACGUAGCGAAAUGCGAUACUUGGUGUGAAUUGCAGAAUCCCGUGAACCAUCGAGUCUUUGAACGCAAGUUGCGCCUCAAGCCAUUAUGUUGAGGGCACGUCUGCCUGGGCGUCACAUAUCGUUGCCUGAUGCCAGUUUCCUCGUGAUGGGUGACUGUGCAGGGCGAAUGAUGGCUUCCCGUGAGCAUUGUUGCCUCAUGGUUGGUUGAAAAUUGAGUCCUUGGUAGGGAGCGCCGUGAUAGAUGGUGGUUGAGUGACGAACGAGACCCAAUCAUGUGAGACCCCUACCGAAUUUGGCCUUCAUGACCCACAUGCGUCUUUGGAACGCUCAUGACGAGACCUCAGGUCAGGCGGGGCUACCCGCUGAGUUUAAGCAUAUCAAUAAGCGGAGGA